CUGGCAAAUAUAUAAAUGACAAGUUCCAAGUUCAAUCGAUCAGCAAUUGCAAUAAAGCUAAAGCAAGUAUUUUUUAGUACUAGUGUAACAAAACAAUGAGAUUUAUUAUUAUCCCCGUAAGCUGCGCGUUGAUUUUGGGCCUCUUUUCCUCCCUAACACCAACGUCUGCGUCUGCAGGGAUCAACGUGUGGCCGAAGCCUACAUCUUUGUCAUGGCCUCAUCCACAGGCCACUCUUCUCUCCCCAACCUUCUCCAUCUCCUCUCCCAACCACCCUUACCUCUCUCCCGCUGUCAAGCGCUAUCUCCUCCAAAUUCUAACCGAGCACCACCGACCUCUCGUCGACCCCGCUGUCAACCUCGUCAAUUCAUCCCCUUCCUUGCAGACUCUUGCUAUCAUCGUCGCCGAUCUCACCGCCCCACUCCAUCAUGGUGUCAAUGAAUCGUACAGCCUUUCCAUCCCCAGCACCGGGCCCACCGCCAAUUUGACGGCUGAGACGGUGUGGGGGGCAAUGAGGGGUCUGGAGACGUUCUCCCAACUGGUGUGGGGCGACCCUUCGCGCGUGCCGGUGGGACUCUACAUAUGGGACUUUCCGCUCUUCGCUCACAGAGGGGUUAUGUUGGAUACCUCCAGGAAUUACUAUGAGGUGGAGGAUUUAUUACGAACCAUUGGGGCCAUGAGUGCUAAUAAGCUCAAUGUGUUCCACUGGCACAUUACGGAUUCCCAUUCGUUUCCUUUGGUGCUACCGUCUGUGCCUGAACUUGCAGCCAAGGGUUCUUAUGGGCCACGCAUGCAGUACUCCCCGGCGGAUGUUGCAGCCAUUGUUCGGUUUGGUUUGGAACACGGGGUUAGGGUUCUACCAGAAAUCGACUCUCCCGGACAUACAGGAUCAUGGGCUGGAGCAUACCCAAAUAUUGUGACGUGCGCAAACAUGUUCUGGUGGCCAGCUGGUAGUGAAUGGGCUGACCGGCUUGCAUCUGAACCAGGAGCUGGCCAUCUAAACCCACUGAACCCCAAGACAUAUGAAGUCCUCAAAAAUGUAAUUGCUGACACAGUCACCUUAUUCCCUGAACCAUUUUACCACGCUGGAGCUGAUGAGAUCAUCCCAGGUUGUUGGAAAGCUGACCCAGCCAUUCAGUCCUUCCUAUCUGAUAAUGGAACUCUCAGUCAGCUAUUAGAGAACUUUGUCAAUUCAACCUUCCCUUAUAUUGUAUCACUUAAUCGCACUGUGGUAUACUGGGAGGAUAUCUUGUUGGAUGACAAUGUUAAGGUGAAUGCCUCAAUUCUUCCGCCUGAGCAUACUAUCCUACAAACAUGGAACAAUGGUCCAAACAAUACAAAACUGAUUGUUUCUGCUGGUUACCGGGCUAUUGUGUCAUCCUCUGAAUUCUAUUAUUUGGAUUGUGGGCAUGGCGACUUUCUUGGGAAUGACAGCCAAUAUGAUCAGCCACCAACAGGUGGUAGUGCUGGGAAUGGGGGAUCAUGGUGUGGACCUUUUAAAACAUGGCAAACCAUAUAUAAUUAUGACAUAACGUACGGAUUGAGCCAGGAAGAGUCUAAAUUGGUGCUUGGUGGGGAGGUAGCAUUAUGGUCAGAGCAAGCGGAUCCAACAGUUCUGGAUGCAAGGAUUUGGCCUAGAGCUUCAGCAAUGGCAGAGACUUUGUGGUCAGGAAAUAGGGAUGAAACAGGCAUGAAGAGGUAUGCUGGGGCAAUGGAUCGUUUAAAUGAGUGGAGAUACAGAAUGGUCAGCAGAGGAAUUCAUGCUGAACCGCUUCAGCCACUCUGGUGCAUUAGGAACCCAGGCAUGUGCAAUACGGUUCAUCCAUUUGUUUAGUUGCACCAUUGUUUUGUCUGUAACAUUUACUGGGGAAAUUAAGAAUGGCUCCUUGUCUCUUCACUUUCAUAAAUUUGAAUUGAAAAAUUGAGGAGCUUUCCGACAAUUCUGUGAUUCUUUAAUUUGACCUUGUUACUCUGUGGCUUAUGCCCAAAAGAGAGGACACAGAAUAAUCUUUGUUGUGAUUUUGUUAACCUUCUUACAGUUGCAUGUUAAUGUGUUUUUUUUUUUUUGGAAGAUGUGGCAGUAUAUGUGCACGCAUCUUUGUUUCAUCUAAUCUAUGGUUUUGUUCAUUGGUCAAUUAUGUAUACUCCGUUUCAGAAUUUUUAUUUCUUCCUGUUGUAAAGUGAUACUGGUGCUAUUUCAUCAUGGACUUUCUGUCUCCUUGCAUGCGCAUUCGCUGCUCAUUUCUAUGGAAGGUUAGAAUCAGUGUUAUGGAAGGUCAGAAUCAGUGUCGUAUCAGUGUUAUUAAGACGAGAG
rnacentral:misc_RNA from 1 species